CGGGGUGUAGCGCAGUCUGGUAGCGCACGUGCUUUGGGAGCAUGGGGCCGCAGGUUCGAAUCCUGUCACCCCGACCA
rnacentral:tRNA from 1 species